UUGAAAGGGAAACGAUUGAAGUCAGUCGUACUGACGGAAAAUCAGCUCUUCGAGUGCGAACUUGUGGGUAUACGUGAGCUCUAACCGGCCCCGUUGUUUGCGUUGUUUGUGCUUUUUGGGUGUACUUUUUCGUAUGGUUGGCCAACGUCAGUUUCGGUCACCAUAAAAUGAUUGGAGGAAUGUAGCUUCGAUCUUGUAUUGAAGUGUUAUAGCCUUUGGUAGAUGUAAUGAUCGAGAUCGAGGAUUGCAACGAAUACCCUUUUGGGCUAUCCGUCUGAUCUCUGAUACGUUGCCUCGGUAACGAAAGCGUGCUUACGGUAUUGAGGUAUUACGGUCAAAAGGUUAGAACGUGAUUACAUUCGUUAAGGAUGUUGACGUA
rnacentral:rRNA from 1 species